AAGCGUGACGGCGUGCCUUUUGCAUAAUGAGCCUACGAGUUACUUUUACUGGCAAGGUUAAGUUCUUCAGGAACGGAGCCGUAGCGAAAGCGAGUGUUAACUGCGCGUUGAGUUGCCAGGUAUAGACCCGAAACCCGGUGAUCUAGCCAUGGGCAGGUUGAAGGUGCGGUAACACGCACUGGAGGGCCGAACCGUU
rnacentral:rRNA from 1 species